rnacentral:rRNA from 1 species
CCUACGGGUGGCUGCAGUGGGGAAUAUUGCACAAUGGGCGCAAGCCUGAUGCAGCCAUGCCGCGUGUGUGAAGAAGGCCUUCGGGUUGUAAAGCACUUUCAGCGGGGAGGAAGGCGUUAAGGUUAAUAACCUUGGCGAUUGACGUUACCCGCAGAAGAAGCACCGGCUAACUCCGUGCCAGCAGCCGCGGUAAUACGGAGGGUGCAAGCGUUAAUCGGAAUUACUGGGCCUAAAGCGCACGCAGGCGGUCUGUCAAGUCGGAUGUGAAAUCCCCGGGCUCAACCUGGGAACUGCAUUCGAAAGUGGCAGGCUAGAGUCUUGUAGAGGGGGGUAGAAUUCCAGGUGUAGCGGUGAAAUGCGUAGAGAUCUGGAGGAAUACCGGUGGCGAAGGCGGCCCCCUGGACAAAGACUGACGCUCAGGUGCGAAAGCGUGGGGAGCAAACAGGAUUAGAUACCCUAGUAGUC